GGCCCCAUCGUCUAGCGGUUAGGACAUCGCCCUCUCACGGCGAAAACCGGGGUUCAAUUCCCCGUGGGGUCACAA
rnacentral:tRNA from 1 species